GAUUAACGCUGGCGGCGUGCAUAACACAUGCAAGUCGAACGAUGAAACUUAGUUGCCUUCUUCGGAAAGACACUAAGCGGAAUAGUGGCGAACGGGGGAGUAACGCUGGAGUAACCUUCCUUAUACAAGGUGAUAGCCUUGGGUAACGAAUUAUGUUACCCUUUAAAACCAUAAAAUCACAUGCAAGAGUUGUCAAAGUGAUAGCGGUGUAAGAUGGACUUGCGUCUGUUUGGCUGGUUGGUGAGAUAACAGCUCACAAAGGCAACGAUCAGUAGCCGGCUUGAGGGAGUAGACGGCCACAUUGCGAGUGCGACCCGGCGCAAACUCUGACGGGAGGCAGCAGUGGGGAAAUUUGCACAAUGAGGGAAACCGUGAGGCGGCGGCGCCGCGUGAUUUAGAAAGCCUUCGGGUUGUAAAAAUCUUUUGUAUAGGAAGAAAAUGACGGUACUAGACGAAUAAGGUCCGGCUAAUUACGUG
rnacentral:rRNA from 1 species